rnacentral:lncRNA from 1 species
UGUGCGCUCACGCCGAUUUAGUCGUUCCCCACACAAGUUUAUGCCCGAACGCCGUUUCGGAAAGUACCCGACGCACGUUUACGCUCCGCGCUCUACACAGACUCUUUACUAUCAAAGCGCGCGCGUGCCCGUUGUCGCCGUUGUCGCGCACUAUAGUUGUUCCCCCCUCCCCCACACCGGGUGCGUCGAAUUUUUCACAAUUUUUUUUUUUACACGUAACAAGUGAUUUUACAAUAAUAAUUAUAUUUUAUUCCGCGUUAUCGUAUUCGUUUAUUAUUAUUAUUGUUAUCAUUAUAUUAUCGUUGUUGUUGUCGUAUUUUAUUAUAUUAUAACGCUAACCGACCGAUUCUAGUCCCUCGUGAUUCACCGCGAUCCGCAAUAUAUUAUCGUACUGUUACUCCGUUACGCUGCUGUACCGGAGAGUUUUACCGACGUUGUCCGUUGAAAUAAUAUACACUAUCGUCGUACGUCACGCGCGCGUUCAUAAUAUUAAAAAAAAAAAAAAUAAACAAAAAUAUUCGUUUCGUUCGAACGUGUGCGCGCGCGUUUAUCGUACGCGCCGGCCGGCGACGAGACAGGGCCAGCAGAACGAACCGCACGGCGCGAACGACCGUGCGCCGGGUCGUUUUCGGAGACGGUUUCUCGACGUUACUCCACACCCCGUUUCCUUUUGAUGAGUCAAGGUGAGUGAAGAAAACAUUUUAAAAUAAUAACAACACCUGUUCGAUAUUGUACGCCGCCACCGCGGCCGGUUGGGGAGCGCGGGUUAGCCGGCCGGUCUUCCCGCGCGCGUCCUAACCGCCGCGCCGUCGUAGCCGACGUCCUCGCGCGCGCGUUCUUCAAAGUGGUCUCCUCUCGGAGACUCGGAACAAAAGAACGGAUAGAGGGACCCCGGGAACCCGAUGCCAACGACCCGCCGGUUCUCGGCCGUAAUUUCUAUUUAUUUUUUUUUUUUCGCUUCAAACGUGAAAUUGUUAUCGGAGCCGUUAUCGCGGCGGCCGCGGACGAUGGUAUCCGCCGGCGUAGUAAAUUAUCACCGGAAUUAACGCGCGACACGAUUUUUUAUUGUCUAUAACGACAACAGUUAUUAUUCGUAGUGGUUUUAAUGCCGAGCCGCGCUAAAGACAUUACGGGGGGGGGGGGGGGGAAAAAAAAAAAAAAAAAAUUACGACUCUGUACGACUGUCGCGCGCGGCGCUGUCCAAUCGCGAAAACGCGUAACGCCGCAAUAAUAUUGCAGUGUAAAAUCUUCGGGGGCCCCGGGACGGAAAGGCGCGCGAGUCUCCCGAUUUCGCGUGGUUUUCGACAAGCGAGUGGCUCGAAUCGAAUUUCGAAAACGCCAAAAACCGCGGAAACGUGCGCGAGAAAAGAGCAACGCGAAAACGGACGUGUGCAGUUGACGUGUGCAGAUUAGUCCGUUAAUUAUCCGUUUUUCGUUUUGUUUUUUUUUUUCAUUCUAAAAUAUAUAAUCAUAAUCAAGUAUGGGUACGUCGCCAUUUUUUUUACGAACACGACGUCAAAGUCGCGAUUCAAUUGCGCGUUUCGUCCACUACAAUAAUUCCGCGUGUUUAUAGUACUGCGUAGGCGUAUUUCGCUAGGGACAGAUUAAUUAUCUCGGGAAAAAAAAUGUCUUUCUUUUUUCACGUGUAUAUGAAAAAAAAAUAAGGUAGUAACAAACACAUCUAGACGAAACGUCGAUGUUUUCAAUAUACGUGUACGAAUAACAAUGUAAAGGCCGCGGGGGUUUUUCGUUGACUAAUUAUAUUAUAAUAUAAUUGAAAACUGUCCGCUCUCCGUUGAACACGAUGAAUAUUGUCGUGCGGCGCACGUUUACCUAUGCGGCGUACGUGAUCGCGCGACGCGGUCUCUGUUUCGUAUUCAUUUACCGGACCGCCGGAUCGUUUUAUUUACAUUUUUCCGAACCAUUAUUGUCGGGAGUAGUGCGAAACCCGAGAAACAAUAACGCGACCGUCGUUCUACGAUUUCGAAAAUAUCGAUUUCGUUGUCGCGUACGCGUACCGCAAUGUUUUAACCGUAACGAGCGCCGCGCGUUGACGACGGACUACGUCGAAUUCGUUCGGUUUGUUUUUGUUGUUUUCGCGCCCCCAACCCCCCCCCACCCCCCGUUCUCGUUGAAGAAACGUACGGCCGUCGUUAAUCGCGCGAUUCCACGCCCCGUUAUUUCGGCGGACCGUCGACACUAUAAUAUUAUGUUGUUGCCGCGCGCACGUAUUCGCAGCUAUUUUCGUUUUUUUUUCCUUUCCGUUUUUCCUUUUCGUUCGCGAAUCUCGCGCGCCGCGGCAAUCGUUUGGUCGACGCCGUUUUGAAAAUAUUAUCGCGCGGCCCGCCGUAAGAGUGCGGAAAAAAAAAAUAAUAAUAAUAAUAAUAAAUAUCGUAACGUGUGCGCGGCGUACCAGUUGCUCGCCGAACGAAGCCGUCGAUAACGUUUGCUAUCGACGGUAUCCGCGCGCGGCCGUAGCACGGCUGUGUUUUACUAUCGGGAACUAUUGUUGUUUUUCUACGCGUUUCUGUCAAACGCGUUUUCGUCGCUUAUUUCACGUUUAUAACGGUGGGGGGGGGGAGUGGUGGAGGGAGUAGAAAGAGAGACGGACGGACGUGCUUCGCACGGUGGGCGGGCCGCCGUUUAUCGUGGGCGAGAAGUUGCAGAGGGUAAACGUGCACGCGACGGCCGACCGGCGCCAACGAACAACGAUUCUGAGCGGAGUUCGGCCGUUCGGUUAGCGUUGUUUCGUCAACAAUGUACGCGCGUCGCAUCAUGUUGUAUUACGGUGUAAUAAUUGCGUCUAAUGCGUUGUACAUUUUCUUCGAUACCGUUUGUUUUAUAUUGUGCACCUGUUUUCCCUUGUGUUUACCCGGGUUUUCCGACGAACUAUGAAAAAUUAAAAAAAAAAAAUAACCGCCUCUCUAAAAGCGCCACCCCGGUCAGAUUUCUUUUCGAAAUAAAUGCUACUAUCGACAAUCGGAGCGAAAUUCCUGGUAGAAAUGAUGUUCGUAGAAAAAAAAUAAAAUAAACGUCAGUUUAAAACCAAUACAUUCCUCACUCCACUCAGAAACUAAAACUAUUUGUUAUUACGACGUGUUUUAGAUUCAGAACGAAGCGAAAAACGCGUAUCGGUUUCAAAUGUAUCUGAACAUACGAUUUUUGUACAUGUAUGUGUGUGUGUGUGUGUUUUUCGAACGAAUUUUCCACCGGAUAUCUUGUUCUUGAUCAUCAUCGAGCGGCGUAUCUAUAAAAGAAAAUGUUUUCUCGUGUGGUACGCAUAUAGAAGGAGCCAUUCGAUUUUCCGUGUCUAGUUCUUUUAACAAUCGCAAAUGCAAUUUCCACAGAAUAAUUAACGUAUUAGCGGUCACGUCUAUACGUGGUCAAAUGCGCGAAACAUUCUACCCGGAAUUUUAUGAACUAUUUAUUUGCGUUUGAAAUGUCGAGUUUUUUGUUUCGUUUCUAUUUAAUUUUAUGUGAAUACAAUUUUUUUUAGCCCGGCCAAAACGCUAAAGAAUUUAACACAAGGUCAAGUUGUAAACUUCUACGAAAAUCAUGAAAAUCACUACCGCAUUUCAAAACACACGUUUAACCGAACUUCGUUCAGAGUUGUAAUGACUUAACGUCGUCUAUACAGGUAUUAGUGAAAUAAAACGCCACGCGGUAUCCUGUACCUUCCCGACUUUCUUUUAUGUUUAUUAUCGUCAUUCCUUUUUUCAACGGAAGGUACCCAUACGGAAAAUAAAAACACUGUAUCAAACAUCUAAAGACGUCCGGAUGACGCACGGCCAAGUGUUCAUUAAACGACGACGGUGCACGUAAGUGUUGAUAGCCCCUCAUUUUUUAUUCUAACGGUGAUCGAUGGACAGCCGAUCUCGGGCGCUGGCGACGUUUUAUUGGAAUAAAUUGGCUCACCCUGUAGGCGGGAGAUAUCGCUUUCACUUUUCGGAUCUGGUUUUUCGAGGGCCAAACGAUUUGUCUUCUUCGAACAAGUAUAAUAUAAAUAAUACAAUGGUCUCAUUAUAUUCGUAGAGAAAACAUUAAACUAUUAUAUACGCACGUUGCAGUGUUAUAAAUGAACAAGAAGACGGAUACUACGGACCGAACGGAAAAUUUAAGAAACAAGUGUAAAGUUUCUUGGAAAAUGUAUGGUCUAUACCCGUGAUAGUCUAUAGUUUUUCCAUUGGGGAAAUGAAAAAAAAAAAAAAAAGUGGAUUUAUAGUCUCGUCAACUCGAAAGCCAAUUGACAUUCGUUUUAAAACAGUAACUGCAGUGUCUUAUAUUUUUCCGCAGCGAUCCGAGGGAAUCUGAACGGGACGGACGGGUUAAUUUAACGAAAAAUAUACUGGCAAUUUUCACUGCUGCAGGGGAAGUUUCACGUUUGACAACUCCCCUGACCCCAGACCAUUUCUUUCGUGCGCAUUUAAAUUCGAAUCGCGAUAUUAUUUCUGUAUACGUUUUGUCCCUUUGAAGCCGAGUGCUUGUGUGUUUGAAUAGAUAAAUGGUUUAUGUACAGUAACGAUAAUAUUUUUUUUUGUCAAUCAAAAUGAUGACAUUACGAUACCGAGUGGUCACUGUUAUACCUAAUCGCGAUAUAGCGCUCGCGAUUUUAAUUUCGCAUACCCGGUUAUCGCCACGGAAAAAUACGCGUAAUCGGCUGCGGGCCGAACUAAUUUUGUAAAAAUAAUGCACUCGUAACACCUAUAUCAACACGAGUAAUUCUCUAUUUAUUUUGUAUUUCCGUGCCUAUACACACGUUUGAUUGUUACCGAUUUAUCAAAACUGCUACACUAUGUACACCGGUACAAGAACUGGUGAAAUUUCAAUACAAAUCGGUUAAAUACCGUAAUACUGUCGGUACAACGGCUUUUUAAUAGAAAUUUAAUUAAUCGUCCCGUGCAGUCCGUAUCUUCGCCGCCAUACUAAAACCGUUCCAUUAUUUCGCUACGCAAACGAUAGAUACAGCUAAAUGUAUAGGGUUCGAUCCGUCAAAUCCCCGUGUACUACUACCUAUCGUAUGUAUACAGUGUAUAUAUAUGUGUGUGUGUGUGUGUGUGUGUGUGUGUGUGUGUGUGUGUUUUACGCACGUAUACGUAUACGUUGCAAUAUACCGUGUAUAAUACACAAGAACCGAUUACAGUGGCUACGCACUAAUGACUGUAAGUCGAUUGGGGGAUUUCGAUUCAUUUGAGAAUUUGACAAGCCGGCCGGAAACUCAAAAGGAACCGUGUUUUAUCGACCCCCGUUUAAUGCGGGAUUAAUUAUUUAUUCGUAUAUAAUAACGUUAAUUUAACUCGUACGCCGCCCAUGCCGACUCGUAUUUCAAAUUAAUCGUUUCGUAUUUCAGAAAAAUUAAUUUCAUAAACGAAUAUAAUAAUAUUAUUACGAAGGAAAAGAGUAUUCGUUUGUUUUUUUUUUUUUUUUUUUUUUUUUUUUUUUCCAAACAAUACGAUACAUAUAAUAUUGUAUUACGUAUACUGUAUAGUAUAUAAUAUGUUAUAGUAUAUUAUAUGAUAAUGAUUGAAUGGACUUAAUUUUGCGUACUGUUUAAUAAUAUAUCAGUUGUUGUUUUACAUAAAGAUUUUAAACCGGAGUUAUAACAAUGAUUUAUUACUAUAUUAUCUAAUUUUCGCGGAAUAUACUUUUUUUUUUUUUUUAAGUUAUACGUGUGCAACUUUCUAUACGUUUUCAUCGUAAUAUAUUAUCAUACUAAUAACGAACACAUACAUCUAACCAUUAUUGUACUUGUUAAAAGGAAAGAAAAAAAAUAAACGUAAAAUACUGUACAAUAAAAACUCACCGCAUAAUAAUAUUCAAGUGGAUUAUUAUUACAUAUCAUUAUUUUAUUAUCUUUAAUCUUAAAACCGUACAAUAUUAACGAGUCGCGUGUGUGUGCCAACGGUACAAUAUUCGUUUUCGUACAAAACCCAACGCACCGGUCAUAAAAGGGGUUCCGGGGUUGUUGACAAACCCAAAAUAAAAGGUACCUACGCCUAGUAUGUAUGCGAUUUGAGUAAACAUCGAGAAUAUUAUAUUCGUAUGAACACAUGCAUUAUACAAUACGUUUCAAUUAUAUUCUUACACGAUAAAAAUAAACAAUAUAGUUUCCAAAUGGAGCGUAGCGUACUGUGUACAAUCGGGAAAUACAUAUAAAUGCGCGUACGGCUUAAAAAGCUCGUCCCGUUGUUAUUUCCUAAUAGAAAUAACAAUUGAAAAUGUCGAUUAUUAAUGUUAAUUUAUUUUCAAAGCAAUAACAAUGUGCAAUUUUCUACGUGAUAUCUAAGUAAUUUUAUGAAUAUUACACUGUACUUACAUACUGUAUUCAUAAACGACACGCUAACUAGAUGGUCUAUGGUAUUUAAUAUCAUUUUUAGAUUACGUCAUUUCGCCAGAAUUUGACUUGGCAACGGUCCACGGAUUCUUUGGGCACGGUCGUUAUAAUGUUAUUUUUUGACAAAAAAAAAAACAAUAUUUACCCAUAUAGUGCUUGAAACAUUUCCGGAAUAUGUGAUUUCCGGUGAUCCUAUGGACGCUGCUAUAUGAAAGCAUAAUUUUUAUUUUUACUUUGUUAUUGCAGUUAUAUUGGCACUGAAUUGAAUACCGAAAGUAUCAAAAAAAACAAAAAAACUUGAAAACGUGUACAUAGUCUCUUUUUGUCGACCGAUAUAUUUGAAAACGUCGCUAUAAAGAAUCGUUGAACGAUAGCGUACAUUUUGUGUCUUUUGUAUUUAUAGUCUAUAAACUAUAACGACACAUUUUAUUUAGCGUUAUAAUAUGUGACCUCCGACAAGAUAUUUUUAGAACACGCCCAGACGCCGGGCACUUAAAAAUAUAAACCGAUAAUUCACCUUUGACAUGCAACUCUAACCUUACAGCGGCGUCGCCGGCGAUCGCAAAACUUUCGUCGAGCCGUUUGCUCGCAGCGCACGCAAAAUACGCAUAACUUUCUAUUUUGAAAUACCAAUUUUUUCGCCUGAAAUUUCGUAACGCGAUCUGCGCGUGGUAGGACUUGAGAUAAUAUUAUGUUGUUUGCCCGUGUGCGGUAUCUCGAAAACGUCUGCGUAGGUAGACAACGGUACUGGUAUUUUGCUUUUCCCUCCUAAAAACGCCUGAGACCUGUAGGAAAAAAAAACAGGGUACAUAAAUUAAUGUGGACAAGCAGACGUCGUAUUUAGCAUGGACGUUGCGUUGUGCAAUCAGGUCGAAAAAUCCUAUUGAAUCAAGGUCGGUGAAGGGGUGGACUAGAUGUGAAAAAAUAAGAUCUCGGUUCCCAUUGUCGUCUUUAAGGUCGAAAACAUCAAUUUUUUUUUUCUUCUUUAAGAAUGCAUAAACGUUAUUUCAAUCAUUGUUGUUGGGGAAAAAUAUAAUACGAGUAUACUUACGAGGUACUUAUACGGUUUUCCCCUCUGUUUGCCGCAACGUGUUCUCGAAUAUAAAACUAAACGUCAACGUAACCGCCGAAGUGGAUUGUUUUAAUUGUAAUCUAUCAAAAUACCAUAUUAAUGUACUGCAACCGCGUAUUCGUUUGACGUAGGCCAUAAUUUCUAUGCGACUGAGCACACGUGUAACACUUGAACUGUACAAUGCUGUUUUUUUUUUUUUUACACACAACUCACUAAAUCUAAAUAGUUCAAAAAAAAAAAUCAUCUCCGCUGUAAAAUUACAUGUCAAGUAGAGUAGACAUUUUGUGAAUAAACUUCCACGAGGAUUAACAUAAAAAGUUCCCAUUGCAUAUUUGUGAAUACCAUACAAACGCGUACUAUUACAUUAACAUUCAACCGUGGAAUAUACAUCCGUAAUGCGCCUUAUACGUGUAUCAUACUGUCUAUUAGCAAGCACGUAUACGCAUAGAAUUUUCCGAGAGAGGUAGUAAAAAUGUAUGUUUAAUUCAUCCAUUUGUUUAAUAGAUCAACUUAUUAAACAAAGAUUUUUAUUUACGAAAAUUUUAAAUUCUCAAUUUUCUUGAAAUUGCAAACGAUGGAAGCGGUGUAACUCCCAAUAAUCUACCCUUCUUUAUGUGCUUGUGCAUAAGUAAAAAUAUAAUUGUCCAGCAAUCUACGAAAGAACUUAUAUUGUGCUGUUUUUAAAAAUAUUUAAUAUUGUUCUCUUCAAUAACACAAGAAGUAAAAUUAAAAAUUGUCAACUGAAUUACAACGGGACGAAUUUCCUGAAUUUACGAGUAUGAAAAAAUCAAUUUGAAAAUAGCGAUGUAUUGACAAUGAAAUUAUCAUAUUAUGUGCAAAAAGAAAAUGUUUCGAUCUUUAUUUUGUAAACAAGCUGGAAGGGUUCCAAGGGUCGAGACCAAUUCGAAAUUUUUUAGCGAAAUAUUAAAAUAAAAAAACAAACAGACAUAAUUCGCGUAAUAGGUGGGGGCCACUGUUGUCGGUGAGAAGUUGGGAAGGUAGAAGAGAAAUUUAAUGUAAAUCUGUACGCAACGAUUAAGCAUUACUAACGAAAAACGACUCUGAGCUGAGUUUUUCCCCGGUUUUCCCUAUUUAUUAUGAAACCCCCCCGCGAAAAUCAAAAAAUAACCUUUUUCAAGUACCGCCCCCGUCAAAUUUCAUUUCAGAAAAAGUGCUACACUUAAAAAUCGGAGCAAAAUUUCUAAUAGAAAAGUUGUUCAAUGAAAAACUAAUAAUAAUAAAAUAAACGUCAUUGUAAACCCAUACAAUCCUCGUUCCAUUUACAAUCGAAAAAAUCGUUAAAUUGAUUUAAAAACAGUUCUAUUUCUGCUACCACGUGUCUUCAAACAGGAAUACGUGCAGUUUUAAAUUUCGUUUUGCACAGGCUCUGAUUCUACGAAUAUUAAACUGGUUACAUUCAUACAUAUCACCCCCUUCUCCGAAAAUAAAUCCUGGUUACGCCACUGUAAAUAUAAACGUGCAACGUAUAUCAAUCAGUAUUUAAUGCGUUUAAAAAACAUAAUAUAUGUAAUGUCAAUUAACACUAUGCCAUAUAAUAUAAUUAACUGUAGUUAAGUUAAUAAUAAUUGCUGACCCGAUCGUAACUCGUGAAUUAGAAACUCGAUUAAAAAAAAAGAAAAAAACAGUGUUUUCAGUUGGUAGAUAAAAUUCCAAGAAUGAUACUAUAGAUAAUGGAUAUUUAAUGGAUAUAUCUUCACAAAAAAAAAAAUCUAUUCCUCGUAUAAUCAUAUUAUUAUGUAUAACAAUGUUUUUCUUCUGCCUUCCUCGUUUCUGUUUAGAAAUUCAGCUGUACCGUCCGAAUAAUCCUAAUAAUAAAUUACAAUAUUGCAGUAGUUAUACCAGUUUACAGGAGGUGCAAUUAAACGACAAUACUCGAUAUUUCGAAAAACGGGCGAUCCGCUCAAAUAGUUAAACGGACCGCCCUGUAUGUAAAUAUAGGAGAAAGUAUUUCCAUUACCGAAAUAUAUAUACAAUUCUGGAUUCCCUAUAUAAUGCAUUUACAUUUUACGCACAGUAUAAUGCGGUUUUCGAAUUAUUCGUUUUUGGCGUCUAUGUCCGCAGAAAGUCACGCGGAUUAUUCGUCUGUCGGUAUUUAGCACGGGUUUUCAACCUUCGCAUUUCGUAACGUUCCAGACACACAAAAAAAAAAAAAACCUUAUGUCUUUUACAUCGCACUUCCGAGGUUUUCGAAAAUCGCUUGUGUUAUAAUAAUAUCGUAGCAUCCGGUCCACCUUGGCAUCAUAGCAUUGUUUAGGAUGGCGACGACGACGGUGACGUGCGUUACGCAACAAAGACCGAGUUUAACGUUGCCUACUGAAAUAUUUAUGGUUUUCUUUUUUUCAGAGUCAAUGACGCGUUCGGAUAUUGAAUGAUUGGAAAAUAUUCUCGCCCCUUAACGCAUAUUUCUUAACCCCCCAUCCCCCCCCAUGAACAUCUGUGCGACGUAUACGAUAACUGGUUUCGGCGGGACGAUGAACAAAAACGAAAUUCGUGUGUAAUAAUAUAUUAACUUAUUAUAGAUUUUGUAUUAGAUAUAAAACAUUAUGUAUCGUUGUAAUUUCGUGUCGAGUCCUAAUAAUUAUUAUUAUUAUCGUUCGAGACAUUGAUCGAUUUGGGGGAGGGGAGAAUCCUAUUGUUCGAGAAUACUGUUGGCGGUAUAGUAUUUCGGUUUUUCGGCGACAUUUGUCACGGACGCGCAUAAUACCCCCUCUCCCUAACCCCUCCCUUUCUACCGCUGAAAUUUCGCCGGUUUAACUGGUUUGUCUCCACAACAAUAAUAAUAAUGUACGUCAUCCACAAUGUUUUUUCUCCCUCCCCCCCCACGGCCCCUCUUUCCACCGUUCCUCUUGUAUACGCACACGUUCGUUCUCUCGUUUCCGAAUAAUGACAUAUUCGAUUCAACAAGCUAAACGUUUCUAUUAUCGACUGGGUAGUCCCGCUGCGCAGCAAAGGCCCACUGCGGGCACAGGGUGUCCUAAUGUCGGAAUUAUUAAUGACACUCCGAGUGUAUGUUUGCCAACUUCACCUGGCCUACCACCGGGUGUUACAAUAAUUUUCUGCGUUUUCCCCGCACCCUUCUACGCGGGUUUUUUUUUUUUUUAUAUAUACACAUACAAAAGCCACGUUAUUAAUAAUCGCCGUAUAUCCUAUUUUAGACCCCGCGCGCCAUCAUAAUAAUAUAAUAGCCCACCGGCCGCGAGUGUCCCUUGUGACUGUAUAUACGCGGUUCCGCGAUGCCGGUUUCGAACAAGUCGUCCAUGAGAAUGCACACGCCAAAAAAAAAAAAUAAAAAGAACUUAAAAUACUACUAGACAAUUUGUAAUACAAUAUAAUAAAGAGGGGUCACGGAAAAACUAGCGGAAAAAAACAAUCGUCGUACAAUAUUUUUACCGCAGCGGGCCUUUGUUUGCAAUAUUUUCGAUCGCCGAGUCCGUCAAAAAGAAAACAACGGAACCGUAACCGUGUUCGGGAGUCAAAACUUAUUAGACACACACGCGCGCGCGCGCACGCAAACGAUUUUCGGCCGUUGCGAUAGCCGUUUUUUAGGGACAGUUUUUUUUUUUUUGGGGUCGUUGGCAUUAUAUUCACGUACGUUUCGUAAAAAAGACCGCGGAAACGAUCUCGACGCAACGUCCGAUGUAAUCGGGUUAAUUAAGACGUUUAGAGGUCCCGGGGUUAAACUUUUCGACGAGGCUCUCGUUGAAAGACUAAUAAAUAUAGUUUUUAUUUUAAAAUUGUUUUCUAUAAUCAAUACGUUUUAACGAAAGAAAAAUAAUAUAAUAUAAAUACAGUAUAGAUAUAGUACAGACGUCGUAUAGAUUCAAAAACCACAAGUAUUAUUUAAAUAAAUAAAUUACAUUAUUUUUAACAGAGCCACUAGGCAGUAUUGUUUGUACUGUUUAGUAAUACGAUAUUAAGUUAUCAUCAGGUAACGAAAAAUUAUCAAAGUACAAAGCAAGUUAAAUGCAUACAUAAAGGACAUUCUGUGGCAAAAACCGACGCCCCGGGAGCCUGAUGGCCAUGGCCCACCCUAGACCACCCCUCCUUAAUCAGGGCUCGGGUAGAACGUUUACGAAGAAAUUAUUAAUUUUUUUCGAUAUUUGUUUUAUAGAAAAUUUUGAUGUUUAUAUUUUUAAUCUCCGUCAAUCCGUUGACGAAAAUUACAAAUUCAAACAUCAAAAUUUAUUCUAACUGCUAGUUCAUCAAUUUACGGAAUAUUCAAGAUAGGUUGCCAUUUGAAAAUCGAUAGUCGUUUCACCCCCAAAAACAAGAGUAACAAAAAAUAAUGUAAAUGUUAAAUUUUAGAACAGCUUGUUUCUUAAAUGUUCGUUAAAACGAAUUUCGAAAAAAGUUAAAACUCACCGAGAUAAUGAGUGUCUUGCGAUACAUUGAUCACCCCGUAUAUUAUGUACAGUGCGUUGAACUUGCAGUACAUUUUCCGUCCCUAUGCUUACAAUAAUACCUAUCGCCCAUUAUAUGCCUACACGUUGAAAACGUCUCCCGAGUCGAAUACACUACGUGAAUCGAAAUUAUUGCCAUUGUGUGGUAAUUUGUAAUAUUAUGAUAAUACCUGAUACAUUAUUAUGAUACUUUUGUUUCGUUCGACUGGACGUUAUUUUUUGUCGACACCCGAUCGCACCGCGUUCGCUCUUCGAUAUAAGGUCGAUAAUUAUUAUUAUUAUUAUUAUUAUUAUCGUCGUCGUCGUCGUCGUCGUUUUUUUUUUCUUCCGUCGAAAUCUAGUUGCGUUUCGUUACCGUGUAUUGUGACACAAUGACGGGAGGGAAGUGAACCCGUACUCCGCGUGUAUUUAUAAUAAUAUGACCGAGCAGCGUGUGUUUGUUACUGCGGAGAGAGAGAGAGAGAGAGAGAGAGAGAGAGAGAUAGAGAGAGAGGACGAAACUGUACGGUGUGCUUAGAAACCCCGUGCCUCGCUCUAGGUUUGUAGUUUUGUAUGCGUCGUACGAGCAACAAGUGUGUUUGUAUAUUAUUAUUAUGAUUUUGUGUGUGUGUGUGUGUGUGUGUGUGUAGCACAAUAUUAGACAACCGCACGAAGCCAUUCCAAAUCCGUGUGUUCGGAUAAAAUUCGAGUUUAAACAAAUGACCAAGACGGACAUUUUGUUUGCAGUAAAGUGUUAACGCUGUCCGCGUAUUUUUACGUCCGUUGCGAUAUUUAUACGUAUACGUUUAUGUCGCUCGAUGACAAUAAUAUUUACUGUUGAACGAACGCGGGCGGCGUUGUAUACGUAUAACAUAGUAAUAGAUACGUACGUAUAUAACGGCCUCCUCGGAAAAAGUAAGAAAAACGAUUUUUUUUUUUUAUUAUUAUUAUUAUUAUUACUACUGUGUACGAUACGGUUUUUUCGUUAUUCCGUAGGUCGUUUGAAUCGUAUACGCGCGCUCGUAAAUAAUAAUCGUUACGAUUCGCGCGAACGAGUAAUUCCGACUAAACAUUCCCGAAUUGAUUUUUGGCGAGUUGCGUUUUUUUGGUACAGCGACUUUUGUCCGUCCUCGAAAUAUUGACCGUAUUGCCUUUACGUAGAAUAAAAAAAACACACAACAAUAAUAAUAUCGUCUCCGUAUUCGACGCGCGAAUUGGCUGUAACGUUUUAGCGUUAUGUUACGCGACCGCGUAACAUUGUCGAGUGUUUUACCGCCGGGAAUUUCCGGCCGAACGAACGUUUAUCAUUUUUAACGGCCGGCACCGUAAAUACAAUACCCGCUGUUGUCGCGGACUGUCGCGAAAAUCGUACCUGGACACCCUGGGGUCCGGCUCCUCCUCCGAACGGCGGUUUUUACGCGAUCUAAUGAAAAAAAAAAAAAAAACGAUACACUUGCGACUCGCCCGUGAGCGUUUUGCCGUGCGCGCGUACAAAGUGACGGACGAGAUGCUUAAACACGGCGCGCGGUCCCCGUACCUGUCUGUUCCGGCUCGGACGCUUUAGAAACGAAAACAUAAUUUGAAUUUUACACGCGCGCGGUGACACCUCGAAGAUACGGCGGUUGAUUGUUUUAAAAGGAAUUUUUCCUUUUUUUUUUUCGAAUUCCCGACGGCGCCACCCCCGAUUCGCGUUCAGUGUUUAAUGUGUUUUUCAGCGAAACGCCCCCGGGUCGCGAUCGUUUCGGCCACUUGCGGACCGGACACUUCAAAAAGCGUACACCCUACACGGGGUACGCUUGUGUGUCGAAGAUACUACACCCCGGACCCCCGGUACGCUCGCGGCGCGUUGCCGCAAUACAAUAUUCAAAACGUCUCACUGCCCAUGCACACGCCCCCGCAGCGUAUAACGUAUGCACUGUACACAGAAUGGAAGCGUCGAAAAACGCAGACGUCACGCUUUGUUUUUUUUUUUUUUUGUUUAAACGAAAACGCAUUGACAAUCUGUAAUAUAAAUGCGUGUAUUGUACACAACGGGUGAAUUCGAUAGCCAAAUAAUACGAAAUAACGCGAGAGGAGGGAGGAACACCCGCGUGGAGACCCCACGACUCGGGCGUCAUAUGCACGCACUCCUGCUGCAACGGAUGUGCCGCGACACACGGCCGUUAAGGCGGGAACGGACUAUAUUAUCACGUGGUCGCGUGAGCUCAGUGGCGCGCCGAGUAGUUAUCGACGGGAGGGGGCGUAUGAAAUAAAAACCGUAAAUAAGUCGUAAAAUCCUCUUCUAUCCGUAACUCGACUCGACGGCGGUAAUUUAAAAGCCGGAUACUGAAAAAAAAAACCCGAUUUCUAAUCAAUGCACCGCGAGCUUUUGCUCGUAUUGGCUGAAAUGCACGCAUUUCGCGAGAACAGAUUACUCGUACUUUGUUUAGGUUUUCAAGCCAGUGGCGGAGGGAGGGUUGGUAUAACCCCUAACGUUCCACCCCCCUCCCCGCGCAAUCCACCGCGUGCACGCGCCGUCGAUGAGUCGCGGUGAUAGGACCGCUUAGAAAUAAAGGUACGCGCUGUCGCGUUAUCGCAUCGCUCGGCUUUCGGCGACGUUUUUCAUUGUGAUAUUACAGUACAGUACACGAACAACGGGUAGGGGGGAGGGAUUCUGAAAUUACCGUCUAAAACGGAAAGUCGCCCCGACGUUCACCGCUCGCGGAAAACCGUAGAGCCGUUUCCGUCGGUUUUCCAUAAGCCGUCGCGCGUCCCCUGCGAACUGCCGGCUCGUUCGGCGGCGGCCGCGCGUCGUACGCGCGCACGCGAUCGCGCGUACCCUUCGCCCGUUACCGCCGCGACGCAUGCGACCGGCCGGCACACCGCUGUGCCGGCGGGGGGAGAACGUAAAUAUCGUAACACGGACGGGCCGGCGGAAAGCGGAGGCCGGGCCCCGUCGCCGUCGACGGCUAUAAAAAUAUAUAUUCGUAUACGUAGGGAAAAAAAAAAAAAAUGAAAUAAAAACGCCGCGUUUUCCUACGCGGCGCGACGCGUACGCGACAAACGAAAUACACGGACGCGCGCGCGCGCACGCACAAAUACACACAACAUUCGACGAGCGGCGCAAACACAUACGGAUCAUCUGCGGGCUUUGAACCCGGAGUGUAUGUACCGCGUGUAUUUACGGCGUGCAUACACACACUCUACAUUAUAAAAUAUCCUUUGUUCCACAUUGUGCCCGUAUUAUACAUAUCAUACACACACACAUAUAUAUACCUGCAUUUUGACGUCGUCGUGCGCGUUCGUUUGUGUGUGUGUGUGUGUGUGUGCGUAUACAGGUAUCGGUAUCUCUCGUAAUACGCUUCUCUGUGCGUGCGCGUGUAUAUAUUAUCGUUAUCGUCGUAUUUAUAAUAUUAUUAUUAUUAUUAUUACGUGUGUGUAAGUAUGUGUAUGCACACACAAUGCAUAGCGACCAUGCUAUAUACGUACAAAAGUAUCUCCGGACCCGAGCGGUGCGGUAAUACGGUUUGACGGGUGGGCGGUAAUACGAGGAGGCGAGUACUGUAUAGGUACGUACGGAAAACCGGUUUUCGGCGGGGGAGCAUCGGGACCUAACCGCGCGCGCGCGCGUGUGUGUGUGUGCGCGCGCGUGUGUGUGUGUGUGUGUGUAUGUGUGUAAACUCGAGGGGGAAGGGCCGGGGGCGUCGUGAGGGGGGGGGAGCGAGGCGGUCGGUCAGCUGUAGUAUAUAAUAGCGGCGGCCGGAGGGUCAAGUGGUCUCUGCUGCAGCGGCGGCUGCGGCCCGGGCUCCGAGGAACGCCGCCGCCGCCCUGUGAGAGACCGUUGUCCGCCCGGUCCGCGCCGAGCGAUGUUUGCACAAUAGUGUAAUCCGAUAUGAUAUUUUAUGCGCGAGGUCAAAGGGACGUGAGAACAGCGUCUUGUCGUCGCGUACACGACGGCGGCGCGCACAGGGUGCGCUGCGGCGCCGUUGCGCUGUUGGCCGGCGCGUAAUAACCGUCUUGGCGGCGGCGGCGGCGGCGGACGCGCGCGGUACACCGCGGCGCGCGGACGUAUUGUAAUAGCGCGUACUGUUGCAUUAUCGUAAUGCGCGCGCUCCCGGAGAACCGGUACGUUAAUUAAACCGGCCGUUGUCACGAUAAUAAUUAUUAGAGAAGAGAGAGAAAAAAAAGAAACAACGCGCGUUAUCUCGUAUUAUAAAUAAUACGGAGUGGCUGUAUCGUAUAAUGCGCGCCCCGGCACUUGAUAACAAUAACAAUAAUAACCAUUACGUACCGGCGUCAACGAUUCGUCACACGGAAAUUCUACGCGCGGUUUUAUUUUUCGUUUCGCGCGCGCGACAACGGCUACGGCGUACGCACACACACGUAUUGCGCGUACGCGAUAUUAUCAUGAUGGGCAUAAUGCCGUUUAAUACAAUGGAUCCGUGCGGUCCGCGCGCGCAAUGACCUCCGCGACUCGGGAAACCGAUAUAAAUUAUUUAUUUUCCAGAUGAAUAAUUCCGUCGCGCGAUAGAGAGCCAUCUCCGCAGUUGUGUUCGCCUCGCCUUGCCUUGAAUACACGCGCGCAAUACGUAUUUUGCGUAUCCGUUUCGCGGCGUGGGUCGGUCGGGUUUCCGCGAACGCGUUCGACGUGCGCCCGGGCGAAAAGCCACCGCGGGGACCGAGUGCGAAUCGCGCGCGCCGACCGCCGGGCGCGGCGCGGGACUGCGACGCGUCGCCGGCGUCUGCCCGGCACCGUAGACAAUGGUAUCGUCGCGCACGCGAGCGCGGAUGGAACGUCACCCGUCGGCCGUUACGCCGCAGUCGACAAAAACACGGAUGAGCCGCGUCCGUGCGGCCCACCGGCGUCUCGAGAGGGACGGGUACGGUAGCGUACGGUUUCGCAGAGCGAGCCGUUUUAUCUGUGCCGCGGUGAACGACAAAUCGCCUCGGUUUACCGCCCCUCCCUUACAAUCGUUAUUGCAGUGGCCCGUCCGUUUAUUUGUUGCCCGCGCGCGUUGUACCGUGAGCGAAGGGCGCGGGCGCCGGUUACCGCGGCGGUCAUUCACGGCUACGCGGGCACUCGUUAACGAUAUUUCUAUCGAUCCGAUUCGCGAUCGAUUCCGAUAUUAUUUGUUUCGGACAAAUGAAACGUAAACGGUCGGGAUACGCGCUGCAGGCGCUACGCGAUUUAACGCAAACAAUAGACGAUAUUUUCCGAAUUUUCGAUUUCGACGGGCUCCGGACGGACGGUACCAUGUCUCUCACCUGCACGGUUGAUACCACACAUGGAUUGUGUACGUGACCGCAUUGGAAACUAGUGUAUUACGCACUUCGAUCACACUUGAACGCACGGUAUGUGUCUAUUUAUAUGUGUACGGUAUAAUUUCUAUGCCGGGCGCACCAAAUACCCCCGGAGCCCCCCCAUUGGUGAAUGAACACCGGGGCCGUGAAAAUCAGCGUGCGACGUCGCGUCGAAACAUUCGCGUUAUCGUCGGUCGAUAAUAAUAUUUCUGAAAUUAACGACCGAUACAAAAAGCCGGUGAAUUAUUAAGUUACACUCGCCCGCGCGAUAAUUAUUACUAAUAAAUAAGGAACGGAUUUAUGUGCACUUAAAAUUCACAACAUAUCACUUAAAAACGUCAUAAAAGCGUUAAAAUAUCACUUAAAACCAUUUUAGUUUAAAAGGUUCACCGUCGUUUCUGGGUUAUUAAAAAUAAUUUUUAACGCUAAUAACACGAUUAUUACAAAGUAAUCCGGCACUGGACAUCGCUGGUCUCUGUGAUUUCUCCUGAGCACACGUCCGUUUUUUAUUGGCAUUCAUCAUGCCGAAAAGUUCCUGGCUGAACUUGGAUUUGCUUUUGAUCCUCGACAUUCUCCGGACAGACUUUGCCGUCACUCGGCGCAUCGAGCCAAUUUCGUCAUCGAUAUUUUUUUCUUUGUAAUUUCGCUGAAAUAUAUUGUUAUCUAUAAUAAUAAAAAAGUUACUAAAUUAAUCCUCAUGGUUGGUGUAUUUUCGAGCGAACGGGAACGGGAUUAAUAUAACCCCUAACAUCCCGCGCUGCGCACGAUACGCAGUGUAACGUACACGCGUGUUUUAAAAUAGUUAAUUGUCUUAAAUCGGCCUCGGUGUCGCGAACUAGUUCAUUGGAUUUGUAAAUUAACUAUUUACAUUUUUUUUUUUUUUGUGAACUUGAACUAUAUUCUGUCUGUUAUCUACAUAGGUAUUAUAGCGCUGUUACUUUAACAAUAGUCUUCGGUAGGUAUUCAAUGUUAAGACCUAUAUUAUAAUAAUGUUAUGAUUUCUGUCAAUCAAUAACCGUGUUGGAUAACAAUAUGUUUUAUACGCGAAUCAUUCGUCAACGCGUUUAAUAUUAUUAUCUAUACUGUGUAUAAUUGCAUAUAUAAUUAUACCUCUUUAUCUUUUUUCACACAUACCUAUAUUGUUGAACUUGAACUUCAUUAAUAAUUAAAACAUAUAAAUCAUGUAGCUCAAAAAUAUAAAUCUUAAUGUUUAGAAAAAAAAAAAUUUAUUUUCGAUACCUUUCAAGAUAUUUUCUAUGUUUUUCGGAUUUGUUGUUUGAUCGACCGUGUUCAGUAUUUAACUCGAUGGAUGCCAAAAUGUAUAAUAUUAUCACUCUGAGCUAUACUGCACGUGUACAUAUAAUUACGUUAAAUACAAGUUCGUAUUGUUGUCAGGUUAUUGGGCUUGAAUUAUUUUUUUUAAUAUUAUAAAUGUUACGAAAAAAGUGAAUUUACUAUGGCUUGGCCAAAAGAUCCUUUUGUUAUUUUUAUCAUGAAAAAAAAAAUGCGCGUUUUAAUAUUGAACUCGAUUUCUCAGAAUUUUAACCGUUCACAACUUAGUAACACAUUAAAAUAAUUUUAAAAAAAAAAACAUUCGGCCAAGGUAUACUGGAAUAUAUACUCUUGUAUUUAUAAAAUGUAUAAAAGAACCUUUUUUGCGUUAAAUGUAUGGAAAUAUGAAAUAUAUUAUUAUAUUUUGUCGGCACAUAAUACGCUUGAGACGGACCGAUCAAACAAAUUAUCGACAGAGGCCCGUUAAUAGUGUUGGAUCGAUUUUAGGUGAUCUGCAUACGCAAAUUAAAUUGUAUAAGUAUCCGCUUUUGAUAAACAAUAUACUGAUAAGGUAAAACAAUAAAAUGGCAGAUUAAUACGGCGAAAAGAGAUUCGUCGAUUAAAAGUGGACAGUACGUUUUUCGUUGGCCGUAGCAGGAUGUCUGCAGUUCCAAGUACGUGAUUUUUUCCGUUUCGUUAUCGAUCGACGGAGGUAUAUAUAAUAUGUAUAUGUGUGAACACGAUCGAUAUUUCCGGAGCCAAGAGCGAAAGUAAAAUCAAUUGACCGAGUCGCAUAAAUUAGCAUUUAUUAUAACGAAAUGCGCAUUAUAAUACUACAUUGCAUAUAAUGUAUGCUAUCGAAUAAAUUUCAUUUGUGUUUUGUUGUUUUCUUGUAGGUAUGAUUUCGUCGUCGCGCGUUAUUUUCGAUAUUUUGUAAUUUAUAAUAUUGUGCGGUGCAUUUUUAAAACGUAUUCGUCACUCUUCGGAUUAACAAUAACGCCGAUCAAUUAAACAUAUAAUUCUAAUAAAUUCUAUUUGUUUUAUUUUUUUAAACGGGCUCGGAGGCCAAUAAAACCGUACAGUUGCAACGGUAAACAAAUUUGAACGACGACAAAGCGUAAACGUCAAAACAGAAUCGAUUAUCGAUUACAAACGAUAAUUAUAAAAUUAAAAUAUAAAAAAAACAAACGAAAAAUGGCGAUAAAAAAUGGCGCGGUCCUUGAUACUAAAGGCGAAACGGUUUACGAAAAGCUCAAGUGCUGCUCGUUAACCGCGCGCGUCGCACACGGCGAUUAUGUUUACCGCCGCGGUCGGUAUUGCGGAACGGAACAACAGAGUUAAAAUCGGACCUAGUUCGGCGAGUAGGAACUUUUUUUUUUUUUAAUUCGAUUAGAGAAAGAAGAGUGCGAGGCGUCCACGCGUCCGUCGAUGAGCUCGUGCAAAACCGCCGAAUUACAUUACGAUAUUUACGAUAAACGCGCGCACCGACGUUUUUCGACCGGCGUAAUAAUAGCCUCUCCUCCUCGUUUCCCCUCUCCCCCGUGUACACCGCGCGAAACGCGACACUCGCCGGCCGCAAACACGCGCGCGUGUGUGUGCGUGUAAAACGCGCACCUAUAAACGAACCCCCACGGCCGCCUCUGCCGCCGCUGCCGCUGCUGCCCCGGGGCGCGUAGCUUCCUCUCUAAUGACUCCGGACGCUUAAUGCAUCCGUUCGUUUUCGUCCGUCCCGCGGCACGAGAAGCCCUGCCGGACGACCGCCGCCGCCGCCGCCGUCGGCACAAAGCCGGUUUCCGUCGCGUAACAUUAUAUCCGUCGCGACAAAAACAGAAAAAAAAAAACCGCUAUCGGAAUUUCCCGAAACGAUAUUAUCAUAUUAUUCCGUUGGUGUUUUUUUUCCUGUCGAUGAAAUACCGACGACUAGAGACAUAUCCCACAUCCCGCCCCCGAACCGCCGCCGCCGAUCGGCAAACAAUGACGCCGACACCGGACGCGUCUGCGCGCAGGAAACGCGGAGUUUCUGGUUUAGCGCGCGCGCGCGUGUGCGUGUGAUUUUGUUUUCGUAUUCAAUUCGUGGUGGAUUUGUUUAUUCGUAUAGACGAUCGUUUUUUUUCGGUGUCUUUCCGAGACGAAACACGCAACGAACGGUCCACGAUAACGUUCGCCGCCGCCCGCGUAUAUUUUCCCGGUUUGGGCGGUAUGUCAAUACGCCGACCGGCCGCCGUCGUGGUUAGGUGGCGUACCGGAGAUGUUCACUUCGGAAAUCGCGCCGUCGAUCGCAAGUCCGUAUACGACGUACAGCUCGUGGUUUUUUUUUAUAUAUAACUGUCUAUCGGGUUCGAAAAAAAAAAACCGAUUAUCGUCGAAAUCAAAUAAUUAUAUUGACAUCAGUAAUUUUUGUCGAUUCAUCAUACUAAACUGUUUGGAUAGGUGUCGCGUUUUAAUCAAGAAUUUAUGUACACGUUUCGAGCAUUUUUUGACUAACGCGUAAACUAGGUGCCGACACAUUUGUGAUUUUUCCGUAUAAAAAUGCAAAGAAAUCCGAAUUUUAAAAAGAAACUUAUAGUCCCGUAAAUAAUGGGUAUUGAAAAAAGUUCGAUGGGAGAGAUAUAUCACCAUCGUAGUCUCCCCCCCCCCCUUGUCACCGGCACAGUAGUAUAGGUUUACACUUUCGGCACACUUAUUAGUGUACAUUAUUAUUAUAGCUUCCUCGAAACGCCGUCGGGUUUCCACCGACCGGUGUACCUUUUUCAUAUUGUAUUACAGGUUGUGUUUAUUUUUUUGUCGCGCUCCUAACCCGACCGACUAGACCCGAUAGCCGAGGUUCCGGGCCCCGGACGCGGUCCGCAAAUACGCUCGCCCCUCUGCCGGGAUUUUCUUCUUUUCUCGUUUUGUUUUCCAUCUCGAUCCCCCGCGAUAACGGCGUACGCGACACGUCGCGUAAAACCGCGGGCGCGGAACCGCUCGUCGCGACCGCAACUGUAUAAUUGAUACGCCGCCCCAUACCCAAACACAAUCGUUGUUAUUGUACGUCGCUCACUAUAGACGAAUACCGCACGCGAUGAUAAUACGCACGCGGUGAUAAUUGACGCACGGAAAACGUUACGUAUAUCGGUAUACGUGUACGGUAUUAUCGUAAUGGAGUGGGUGAACAACGGUAUGCCGCACGCGCAAAGUACCCUCGUGCAAUAAUAACAAUAACAACGAUAAUAUGUUCUGUGCGAUAAGAAAAUAACGUUAUGAACAUAUUAUCUUUGUCGUCGUCGUUGUUAUAGCUAAACGAUAGCAACAGUCGAAGAGCGUUUAUUGCGUUAUUAGUUACCGGCGUGUGUCGUCUCCCCGUCUGUAGUAAUUAUUAUAUUACUGUGCGCGCGAGCGCGUGUAAAAAAUCUGCCGUAAAAAAAAUGAAUGCGUACCCGCUGCAGUGGCGUGGAUCGGCCUGCGCGAACGACCGGGCCUGCCACUCAUCGCACGGCCGGAAAAUUUCGGAAAUACGUACGCACGUACCGCAUGCACUUGAUUACGCACACGGUUAUCAUUUAUAUUUUCGACAGAAGUAAAACAUUUGUUUACGCAGACAGUCCGUAAGGCGAGCGAUGGUGAAUUCUGUUGCGAUGACGGACGAACGGACUGGGAGGGGGGGGAGUGGGCUGCGACUCGUUACCGCCGUGCGUGGGGGUAAAGGUGCGCGACGAGCUGAAUCGCGUAGAUCAGAUUUACCGGCGUUGUUAUUACUAAUUAUUCAUCGCUUAGCAGUAAUCACCUGUGCGCUUAUCUUACACGAUAACUAAUGUGUAAUAUUUAAUAAUGUCUCUAUACGCUGUUCGGGUAAUGAAAUGUUAAUUUUCGAUUUGUGUAAAACGGCGGCGAAAUUAAUUGUUCAUCAGGCGGGAAUGACGGACGGAGUAUUGACGGGUCGAAAAACCAUGAAUAUUUCCCCGCGUCGCCGCCAGAAAUUUGCGCCACUGUUGUGCGAUGCGGUCCGCGCGCGUGCGUGUACAGACGGUUUUCGGAUAAAAUACCGGGGAAAACGAUCAAAUCGACGGCGGCGGCUCGUCGAACGGUUUUCACGGAGAAAAAUAAAAAGUCGGAGUUUCGACGCGAAAGAGAAAAAAAAAAUUAAUUUACAACGGGGGCGGAUAUUGCGGGAAAAUAUUUUUCGAACGUCUGUUUACCCGUGUACGCUGCCACAAUGUGUACCUAACCCACCGCCGCCGUUGCCGGGCUAUUAUAAACUUCUCGGUCUCGACGGAAGUCCAACGACGUCGGAACACGCGGCACCGUGGCCGGCGGGGAAGGGGCGGGGGGAAUGCGGAGUCUUUGCACAAAAUCGCAUUCACAAAGACUAUAUUCGUAAAAUCCCCGUCCCGUAUCCGAGCGAAACGUAAAAAAUUGUUUCGAUCUUUAGCGGAGUUACCUCGAGUACGUAAAUCGAUUAAUACUUUAAUAGACAACCGUCGUAAAACCUACGGAGUUAUAAUAAACUAUACCGAUUCGUUGGCCGAUACCACUUGUUACCGCGGUAUCCGAUUUUUCGCGAUACAAAUAUAUUAUUUAAAAAAUAAAACCCCAACGUUUUUUGCGAAUAACCACGAACCGGUAUAAAAAAAAACCGAUAUCCGAUAAAACCAUAUCUUCUUCUCAGUUAAAAAUUCCCUUCAGGAACAUGCCAUUUCACACCCAUUGUUCACUAUGCAUUUCUCUUUCUUUCCAAUUCACGCCUUCCCCUAGUGAUUCUAAGUUCUUUCUGACUAAGUCUUCCCAUCUUGUUUUGAGUCUUCCAAGAGGUCUUUUUCCACACGGGUUUUGCUCCAACGCUGAUUUUAUUAACUCAUUAUGGCGCCUCCGGGCAUACCCUACCCACUGGAGUCUUUGGUUCUUUAUAAAAUCCGUUAUUAUUGUAUUUUGGAACAUCAACUCGAAUCUGCAUUUUUUCUACUUCUCCAUUCUCCAUUGACGCCAUCCUCAACAGGCCCAAAGAUUUCCCUCGACAUUUCCCUUUCCAAUAUUAACAAUCGACUACGGAUAAAAACAUAUUACGUUAAAAAUAUACGGAUAGGCAGCUACUGUAAUACGCUUUUUUCACAACGGGUUAUAUUACUGCAAUGUAAAUAAUAGGCCGAAAAUACACUACGGCCUAUCCAUACCUUUAAUAUCCAUAAUCCGUGUUUAAAACCGUAGACAUAUUGACCCAUACGGACGGAUCUUCCCCGUCAUCCACCGUCUGUUGCAUUGUGAGUUUGACACACAGCAGAUAGAAAGAUAGUAUUGAUUGUAAUUUCAGUGUCUAUAGUACCCUACGGUAUCUAUCUUUCCCGUUCAUUCGACGAUAUCCGUCCGUGAUUUCUGCGUCUACGUUAAUGGAUCUAUACAACGGUCAAUAGGUCCAAACCGAUGUGUUAUGAUAUAGUGGCGGCAAAACCGCGUGACGUCCGAUUUGGAUAACGUAAAGGACCGCGGUGUCAAUAAUGACGCGCCGCCGGCCUGACCAAUGAGCAAAUUGUACACCGUUCGCGACAAUAUUAUCAUGAUAUAAUUAUUUCGAUUGCUUCCAUCCUCCCCCCCCCCCCCCCCCCCCNCCCCCUCGCUCUACCUGUUCAAAUAUCCGGCUUGUUUUCGUAUCAAAACCACCGAAGUCGAGUGUAGGUAGGAUACCCGCGUCGGUUUAUUGGACGUUACAGGACCGUCGUCGAAUCGCAUUGUAGGCGGCCGCGUCGUCGGUCGGCCAUAAUAAACCGCGUUGUACUCACUCUCUCCAUCACUCCUCGACAAUAAUAAUAUUAUAAUAUCGAAACACGCAACAAAUGCGAACCAUUUUAUUAUAUCACAUUAUGUUUUAAAUAAUAAUUUUGUAACACCGUCGUCGUCGUCGUCGUCGCCGCCACCGCCGCCGCCGCCGCCGCCGCCGUUCCAUUGUCUCGGUCGUUGUUAUAUUUUCUCGGUGACGUAGGAGUUGUUUUUUUUUUUUUUCUCUCUCUCCGUCUUUCUAUACAUAAUCCGGUGCAACGAGAUCCCCGGCGUUUUUAAUACAAUUACCACAACAUUACGCCGUAUAAAAUAAUAUAUUAUAUAGGUACUACGGCCGACGACGAUAAUAAUGUAACAAUAUUUAAAUAUUACGUACUCGUUUGCUAGUGAAUCAUUAUAUUUUAUUUGUGAACCGUCUCGUCCGGAUGCCAUUAUGCGACUUUGCGUGCCGUCGCCGGCGUGCGUGAAUCGACGACCACGUGUGCCGCCGACCGGAUCGCGUUUUGUCGGUGCGCGGAAAUUCGCACCGAACGAGAAUUCGCUUGGGAUUCGGUUUCGCUUGUCGCCUGCACAUCCGUACCGGCGCCACGUAACAACGGCGGAUAUUGGCGACGGGAACUUUCGAAUACUUCCAACACGGUAUCGGCUAUCGACGAUGGAACCGUCGAAUAUUCCGUGCGGCCUGUCGCUAACGGUUCGAUACAAUCGCCCGGCGGCACAACGAAUUUCAAAGGGGCCCGGGAAACGGUUUGGUUACACCGCAUUCGCGUAAAACCGACGAAAUCCUUUGACAACGCGAGCCGCAAAAGAGAUUCGAAAAUUCUCCGCGAAACAGUGUUCUAUAGAGAUUUUCCUUCGAGAGUUUACCGUAUUGUAUUACGUUUAACGCAACAAUGUUUGUACACCGCUGUUUGUCUACGCGUUGUGUAUUCUCGUUUUUCUUCGUAAACAACUGCACGGCGGUUUACGCGUUCAUUCAUUAUCAAUUGUAUAAUGUUAUUUUUAUAACCAUUAAAAAAAAAAUAAUAAUAAUAAUAAUAAUAAUAACAGACAGGUGGGUAUUUGUGUUUUUCGGCUAUCGAGACGUACUUUAAAACGUAUGUUAUGAUUAUUUAUUAUUUUGUCAUCGUUACUAUUUCGUAUUGCAGAUAGCAGUGUCGUUAAUGGCCUAUAGUUUUUUUUUUUUUUAAUUAUUAUUUUAUCGCGCAUUACAUUUUCACGUGCGUUAUUGGUGCCUAUGCGUUUUAUUAAUUUUUUUGUUUUCCGAUACUGUUAUUUUUUUUUUAAAAAAACGGCCUUUUUUUAAUUAAUAAGCCGCGCGUAACACACCACACAAACACGAUGUGUAAAAACGCGUACGUUGCGCGCUAUUCCGUUUCAGAAACGCACACGGUAAUAUCCCGCGGCGCUUUGCGGUAUUCGCGCGGAUUCGGUCGUCCCGUAAAGCGCCCGGGUAGUGACCGUGAGUUGAACCGCCAGGAUUUCGCGGGUCCCGGGACAUUGUACGAGAACGGGAACGAACCGCUCGACCUGCAAUUAUACACGAGCGCGUCAAUUGCCACGUGUUUGUCGAACGGGAAAUUAUCGAAAAAAUAAAACGCGAACGGACGUGCGACAAUUGCGAAUUGUUACAAAUUGAAACGUUGACGGAGUCCAAUCUCGGUAUAAACAUUGUUGAUAAUCGAUUCGGACGGACUGCCAUACAAAUAAUAACAUCAGUAACAUUUUCAUACGGAAUAUGCGCGUUUUGCAUUACGGUACUGUAGAAAAAGAAAAAAAAAAACAACAGCACGAUCGUGUGUGGUGUGUGCUGCCUGCCGCAUGUAUACGCACACAUAGAGGUGUGUCCGAACGCCAAACCUCCAGGGGCGUGUUUCGAGGGGGGUGGGUGGGUGGGCAGAGAUAAACGGGGCGAUUUUUAAUUAUCGUUAAUUCUUUUAGAAAGGCAAACGUACGCAGGUACCUACCUAAAUACAUUGCAUUAAUGAGGGGUGGGGGGCUGUAUAGGCGUGUGUCGCGCUAUUUUUCGCGUACGUUUUACGCCGGUCAGCGAUGGGGAAUCGGACAUAAUAUCACGUCACUGUACAGGCACCGGGCCGACGUCCGAUUUCCUUAUCGCGCGUGUACGCGUGAAUUUACCGGUGGGGGGGGGGAAACAAACACGUCGCAUAAUACACGGCGUAUCGAUUUCGUCGGACGCGCCCGAAUUUCAAAUCGAGAAAUCGUCUUCCCGCAUACCUGACCUAGACGCGCUUUAAAAAUCGAAAUCGGCCGGGAACGCGUCUAAUCGACCGCCCCUCGUCGGUCGUACGAACGUCAUAUUAUUGUUACACGUAUUAUCCGUCGGCGAAAACGGCCGGCACUCGUCCCCCUUAAAUGGGCGUCCGGGCCGCAGUAUGUAAACUGGCGGACGAGCAAUAUCGUUUGGGCGUCGCGGUGACCGUUAAAACGACGUAAAAACAAUUUUGUUUACUGCGGUAAUCGUGUAAUUAUAACAAUGCGAAAUCGAAGAACGUUCGGAAAACCGUUCCCGACCCUUUUAUAUUUUACGUCCCGUUAUUGCGCCGCCCUCUCCCCGGACCCGCCCGGACGCCCUUGCAGCGAUUGUGGCCAAUACACGAUUUCGACGUAUUUCCAACUGAUUCGGCUAUUGUACGAAAAUUCAAAUUAAAGGGCGAUUCGUAAUGAUGUUUCGGAGGCGGUUUGGACCGCACUCUGCACGACGCUGAUAAUUCGUUUGUCGCGUCGGUAUAAUAACAAUAAUCACGGGCGCCCGUCUGUCAAAUACUGAGGGGGUGACGAUCAUAAAACGAAAAACUUAAAAACCGUUAAAUCAACGGAAUCGCUUAUAUCGAAUGACGAAACGAACGUACAUUCUAUACGCGAAAGAAAUGGUCACGAUUUAAAAAAAAAAAAAAACUGUAAACUCGGUGUUCUAGUCAUUAUCUAGGGAAGGGGUGAGUUGACACGUCUGUUUCUCGUAUAAUCGACGCCCCUGAAUCGAUAACAAUAAAUUGUUAACCGGGCGACGAUAUUUUCGACAUUGAGCCCUACAUGGCUCAAAAAACUCGGGAGUCGCGUCGGAGUCGAUACGAAUUUCGUCGCGACGAUAAAAUUAUUAUAACAAUUAUAAUAAUAUUAAUAAUCAGACACCGUGUUUGUCGUCGGUGUGUAGGUAUACGCGCGCUCGUAAAAUGCGCUCUCGUUCGGGUUUUUUUCGUGAACUCGCGACCAGUGGCGUGUCUGGCGGGCGGGCAUUCGAUUAUUGUUAUUUAUUUUUUUUUUUUUUUUCAUUAUCAUUUUUCGUUUCCCCCGUUCCUUUUCUGCCGGCGUAGAAAUGAAAAAAAAAAAUAUAUCACAAUAAUUACGUUACCCCCGCGUAAUCAAUGGCUACGGCCGCCGCCGCCGCCGCCGUUCCGUACCGUCCGGCCGUCGGCGGUCGGUCUUGACAACAACAAUGCGGCGACGGCGGUGGGGCGGAGAAGAAAACGUGACUCGGCAGAGGGCGCUGUUAGCGGCGCGUUGCCGGCGCGCAUUCGGUCCCAUCACCUGGGCUACCGGGUCGCCGCCGUCACCGUCGCGGCAGACGAUCAUACAGUUUAGUUGAUCGGCCGGUUCCCAUACCGACAUUUCACGCAGUCGUCUCCUAAUAGUACGCGAGCCGGUUAAAAAAAUUAAAAAAAAAAAAAAAAUAAUAAUAAAUAAAUAAAAAUACUCAUACCUAUACGUUAUUAUAAUAUUAUUGCGUUUAAAUUUUUACGUUUUGAAUUUAAUUUUUUUUUUUUCUCACGUCACCAAUGUCUGUUGUCCGCUGUUAAGUUUUUUUCAUUAUUAUUAUUAUUAUAUUAUUAUUUUUUUUUCGUCUAUAUUCGAUAUAUUAUUUUAUUAUUAUUAUUAUUAUUAUUAUCAUUAUUAUUAUUGACUGUAAUAAGGUAGAAAAAAAAAAUAAAUAAAAAUUAUGUUUUCGAUAAACGAGUGACAAAACCCGCGCCGCACACGCACACAAACACGAAAUAUAAAUAAAUCAUUUUCGUCGCCGUCGCUCGCGCCCUUUUCCCGGAGAAAAAGCGCGUCGCCGGUGUCCGCUGUCCGUCGUCGCCGUGCGUGCCCGUCGAGUUUUCCAUUUCGAACACCGUCGCACCCCCUCCCCUACCCCGCCCGAGUUCGUUUUUUUUUUUUUAUAUUAUUGUUUUAAUAUUCGAUAAGUGUUGUUAUAUUAUUAUUGUAUUUUUCGUUGUUUUUUUUUUUUUUCUUCCCCCCUCGGCCGUAGAACGUAAAUAUUUUACCGCCGCAGCGUCAGUGCGUUCGUGUCGCGCUAGUGCGUCGCCGUCCCGAGGACCUGCUCAAGUCGUGUCCGCCCGCCACUCUGCUCGGUCUGUUUUGCCGGCACAACGGAUCGUAACACGCGCGCACCAGACGCCCGCACAGGACUCCGGUGGUAAGUGACAAUCGCCGUCGUCGUGGUCGCCACCGCGAACGGCCGUUAAUUAAUCGAACACUCGGUGCCGUUCGAUUUCGUCGGCGGCAACAACGAAACGGGCGCGCGUGCCGGACGGUCGUCGUUCCCACGUUUUUAUCUCGGGCCGAACGGAAUUUCCUCGCGCGUUGCGCGCCGCGUUAAAUCCGUAACGGAACGGCAAAACAAUAUCGCGUUUUUCGUCGUCGUUAUUAUUAUUAUUGUUAUCAUUAUUGGUCCGGUAGGUAAUACGGAACGGCGUGUUGUCCCGCGCGCGCCCGUCAGCCCGCCGUCCGCGAUAUUGUUUCUAUAAAAACGCGCGCGCGGCGUUUCUGCCGGGGAAAUUAACUGACGAUUUUAUUAUUGUCCGCUCCGUCGGCGUUUCUUCGGUGUUGUUUUGACGCGCGCGAGACGGGCGCCCGUUAAAUGUAUACGGCGGAAAAUUUCGAGGAAAAAAAAAAAAAAAUUUAAAAUUUAAUUCCAUAAAUAAAUAUCUUAAUAUUGUCGUGUGCACCCAAGACAUUUUAAUAAUUGUUUUUUUUUUUUUUUUUUAACCCGUGUGUUUCAGAAUGGAAUUGAAAAGACCGAAUCGUCGCGAUUUGUUGAACCGUGUCAAAGGUAAGAAAGACGUUUUUAUUGUUAUCGUUACUUGUUACCGCUAUCGCGCGGGAGAUAAGGCCGAAACGUCAUCUGUCGACGACGUUUUUUCCCCCGCGCACAAACU